rnacentral:rRNA from 1 species
CAAAAACAUAGCUUCUAGCCAAACAACCAUUAGAAGUAACGCCUGCCCUGUGGAUCUUCCUAAACGGCCGCGGCACCAAAACCGUGCAAAGGUAGCACAAUCACUUGUCCCUUAAAUGAGGACUCGUAUGAAAGGCAACACGAGAGAAAACCUGUCUCCUAAGACCAGCCAAUGAAAUUGAACUGCUAGUUCAAAAGCUAGCAUACUAAAGCAAGACAAAAAGACCCCGUGGAACUUAAAUAUCCUGCUUACACGAACUAAGCAACAAUUUUAGUUGGGACAACUUCAGAAAAAUUUAACUUCUGACACCUCCAAGACCAACAAGUCUAAGACAUGGCCUGGACCCAGUUACACUGAUUAAUGAAAUAAGCUACCCCGGGGAUAACAGCGCCACCUUCUCAAAAAGUUCAUAUUAACAAGAAGAUCUACGACCUCGAUGUUGGAUCGGGAUACCCAGACGGUGCAACAGCUGUCAAAGGUUCGUUUGUUCAACGACUAACACCCCACGUGAUCUGAGU